rnacentral:misc_RNA from 1 species
GGGGAGGUUUCAGCAAGUGCGUAAGAAAGAAAGUCUAGAAGCUUGUCCUCAUAUUCAGUAACAGUUUCUAGUAAAUGUCAGAUGUCAUGAGCAUCUUGGCUAGGAAAGACCUUCUGGGUCAUUACUAGCUGAAUUGGCUACUUGCUAUAUUGAGUGCCAAAAUUUUUUUUUUAAAAGAUUCUUGGGCUUUUCUUAAAGCUUUCUAUAUGGAUCUACUACAGAUUAAAUGAGCCGAGAUGAAAAAUCUAAUUCCUG